rnacentral:rRNA from 1 species
GAGUUUGAUCUUGGCUCAGAGUGAACGCUGGCGGUAGGCCUAACACAUGCAAGUCGAACGGCAGCACAGUAAGAGCUUGCUCUUAUGGGUGGCGAGUGGCGGACGGGUGGGGAAUACAUCGGAAUCUACUUUUUCGUGGGGGAUAACGUAGGGAAACUUACGCUAAUACCGCAUACGACCUACGGGUGAAAGCAGGGGAUCUUCGGACCUUGCGCGAUUGAAUGAGCCGAUGUCGGAUUAGCUAGUUGGCGGGGUAAAGGCCCACCAAGGCGACGAUCCGUAGCUGGUCUGAGAGGAUGAUCAGCCACACUGGAACUGAGACACGGUCCAGACUCCUACGGGAGGCAGCAGUGGGGAAUAUUGGACAAUGGGCGCAAGCCUGAUCCAGCCAUACCGCGU